rnacentral:lncRNA from 1 species
CCUGCCCGGGCCCGGCUUGCGUGGCCUCUGCAGCCUCGGGGGCUGUGGGAAGGGGAAACGCGGGGGAUGUCGUGGGGGGCGCUGAAGGUGGCCGCAGGGGCAGCCAGGGGACGCCGCGGCUGCUGGGGACAGCGGCGGGGCCCCGCAGCCUUCCGGGAGCGGGCGCGGGGCCCGUGCCUCGGGUGCGUGUGUGUGCAGCCGUGUGCACGCGGGUGUGGGCGGCCGAGGCUGCGCACGGAUGCUCUGCCGGCCGCGCCGGCCGGAGCCGAGCAGCUGGGUACCCGGGCCCCGGGUCCUCUGUCGCUGCCCCCGCCUCCGAGAAGGACUGGAGAGCGCGGCGCCUGGGACCGCUCCUGGGACGCGCCUUCCAGCGCCUUCUCCCCCAAACGCACUGGACCAGCAGCUCACCCCGGGGAUAAUACCCGCUGCCCGUGCGUGUCUCGCUCAGUGACGGCGUGGGAGGCCACCGCGGAGAGCCCACUGCGGGGUCACGGCCGCUGCGCACAGCCUCCGUCUGGCUCUGGUGCAGGAGGCCUAGUUGCGUCACCUCCCUUUCCUUCAUCUGUUUGGCUUGAUUCCUGGGCCCCACUAGAGGGUAAGCCUGCCCGAGGUGUUCCGAGGUGGUGUCAGCGUUUGGGGAACUUGCCUCCCCAAAGGGAUACCUGUCAUGGGAUUUUGAGUGCCGUGGGCAGGCGAGGGCAGUGCAAGCGCGCAGUUAGCUCAGGCGCAGAGUCUAAGCUGCAGCGGGAGGACACACACAGAGGCCUACACCACCGGCUGGUGGCCGGUGGCUGGAGUGGGAGGCAGGGAUGCUAGAGCAGGUCAUUGGGGGCACAGAACACGGGAGCUUCAAAAUGUCGCCAAGCGCUGAGUGAUAAUACCAACUUGUUUCUCUACCAAAGGGCUCAUUUCUAUUGCCUUAAAGAUCCUGAAAUAUCUUGUUCAUUAUUUACCAAGAGAAAAGUGCUUGCUGUAGGGGAGGCAGAGAAAUGGAGUGGAAAGGGGCAUAAACUUAGCAGCAGUGUGACAUUGAGUGAGUUAUUUAACCUCUACUCCUACUUGGGCUUAUCUACAAAAUGCAGAUAAUUAUACCUACCUUGCAGGGUUGUCAGAAUUUGAAGUGUUUAGCUAUUAUUAGUAAGGGCCUAGUACCCAGGCACUUGAACUUGUCAAUACUGAAGAUUUUUUUAUUGGUUCAGCUGCUUGACAAACAGGGGAUCUUUUUGCUAUUUUGGAUGUUUGCUAUUCUGCCAGAUAUGAUAAAGCAGACUGGUGUGAGUGUGAGUGUGUGUGUGUUUGAUGAGGGGGGAUGGGGAGGAGUAGCAAAACCCAUAAUCUCUCUACUGUAGAUCAUAUAAAAUGCUAGAUCUGGAAAGAGAUUAAGAUCUCACUUUAUUAAUUAUAGCUUCUCUUUAAUGUUUAUUUCAUACCUGUCACCAUGUGAAAAACUUCACAUAUACUAAUUUAUGUAAUCUCUCCAGCAACUUAAUGCAAGAAGUAAAUAUCAUCCCCAUUUUACAGAUGCACAAGGUGAGUCUUGGCCUAAGUCCUGUUACUACUAGUUAAUAGCAGAACUGGAACUUGAGCCAGGGCAUCAGGCUCUGUGGUUUGGGUCUUAUUCUUUCUAGUGUUCCAGCAAUGUGAAGGUGGUAUGUGGGGGAAGGGAAAGCCAGCAUUGGCUGCAAAAAUAGCAUCUCAUAUUGUUCCAAUGAUACCUUAUUUUUUUAUUUUACAUUUUACCCAGCAUUGUCCAGAUGUGAACCAAGAUUUGGCCUUUUCACCAAGAGAAAAGGGAAGGCUCAUGGGCAUGGGCACACAGUGCUGAGAUCGUGGGCACACAGUAGGUAUUUGGUAAAUGCUUGUGGAAAGAACAAAUCUUGAGGCAUUGUCAUUCUUGCCAGAAGGAGGCCCUAUGCUUAAUGCCACCAAGUCUCCUUAAGCUAGCUAUUUUUAUAUACAACACAUUGUAACAUAAGCAUCUGAUUCAUGGAUUUAAAGAUCUGAAACUCUUUCAGACCAAGAUUGGUGUUAUUAUCUGUGACUAACUGAUUAGAGUUUUUAAGUAUGCGAACAAUGGAAUCUGAGCUUUUGGGCUUUUGUAGUGAUCUCUUGAGAUAUACCAAUUUGUUUUGCUCUAACAUCUGUUCAACGUGGACUUUAAUGGGUACAGCUGCUUGAGUUAAGUUUUCUGGAGAGCACCAGAUGAUUGUUUGGCAUCCAGAAUAAAGAGUUCAAAAUAUUAAGUUUCUUUCAAAUUUAAGUUUUUGAGAAAGUUCUGUGACUGAUGUGGAUUAAUGUGGGAAUAGUAAACCAAUUUUAUUCAUUUGUUCAUUUAUUUAUUUAUUUACUUAUUUUGCAGUACUGGGGAUUGAACCCAGGGGCCUCAUGCAUGCCCGGCAAGCGCUCUACCACUGAGCUACUUCUUCAACCCAGUAAACUAGUUUUAAA